rnacentral:rRNA from 1 species
UUCCGGCUGAUCAUGCCGGAACCUGACUGCUAUUUGGGUGAGAUAAUCAUGCGAGUAGUAUGGGAUACUAAAUUUUCCCAUGGCAAACUGCUUAGUAACACAUGAUCAACUUACCCCUAUGGAGAAAUAUAACCUCGGGAAACUGAGGAUAAUGUUUCAUAGUUGAAUAGGCUUGGAAAAGUUUUUCAAUGAAAGGGAUAAGAAAAAUGGUUCUUAUCUGCCAUAGGAUAGGAUCGUGCUCGAUUAUGGUUGUUGGUGAGGUAACGGCUCACCAAGCCGAUAAUCGAUAGGGGCCGUGAGAGCGGGAGCCCCAAGAUGGGUACUGAGACAGCGACCCAGGCCUUACGAGGCGCAGCAGGUACGAAACCUCCGCAAUACACGAAAGUGUGACGGGGUUACCCAAAGUGUUCUUAUUGAACUGUGGCAGGUGAGUAAUGUCCCCUGCUAGAAAGGAGAGGGCAAGGCUGGUGCCGGCCGCCGCGGUAAAACCAGCUCUUCAAGUGUCGGGAUAAUUAUCGGGCUUAAAGUGUCCGUAGCCGGUCUAGUAAGUUCCUGGUAAAAUCGGGUAGCUUAACUAUCUGUAUGCUAGGAAUACUGCUAUACUAGAGGGCGGGAGAGGUGUGAGGUACUACAGGGGUAGGGGUGAAAUAUUAUAAUCCUGGUAGGACCCCCCGUGGCGAAGGCGUCAGAUUGCAACGCCCUUGCCGGUGAGGGACGAAAGCCAGGGGAGCGAGCCGGAUUAGAUACCCGGGUAUUCCUGUCCGUUAUCGAUUCAUAGUAGGCGAUCGUACGGCCAUGAGCCGUGUCAGUCCCGUAGGGAAACCGUUAAGUGUGCCGCCUGGGAAGUACGGUCGCAAGGCUAAAACUUAAAGGAAUUGGCGCGGGAGCACCUCAAGGGGUGAAGCCAGCGGUUCAAUUCGGGUUCACCCCGG